AUUGAACGCUGGCGGCAUGCCUUACACAUGCAAGUCGAACGGUAACAGGUCUUCGGAUGCUGACGAGUGGCGAACGGGUGAGUAAUACAUCGGAACGUGCCCAGACGUGGGGGAUAACGAGGCGAAAGCUUUGCUAAUACCGCAUACGAUCUAAGGAUGAAAGCAGGGGACCGCAAGGCCUUGCGCGUUUGGAGCGGCCGAUGGCAGAUUAGGCAGUUGGUGGGAUAAAAGCUUACCAAGCCGACGAUCUGUAGCUGGUCUGAGAGGACGACCAGCCACACUGGGACUGAGACACGGCCCAGACUCCUACGGGAGGCAGCAGUGGGGAAUUUUGGACAAUGGGCGAAAGCCUGAUCCAGCAAUGCCGCGUGCAGGAUGAAGGCCUUCGGGUUGUAAACUGCUUUUGUACGGAACGAAAAGGCUCUGGCUAAUACCUGGGGCACAUGACGGUACCGUAAGAAUAAGCACCGGCUAACUACGUG
rnacentral:rRNA from 1 species